rnacentral:rRNA from 1 species
AACGAACGCUGGCGGCAGGCUUAACACAUGCAAGUCGAACGUCCCGCCAGGGGAGUGGCAGACGGGUGAGUAACGCGUGGGAACAUACCCUUUUCUACGGAAUAGCUCUGGGAAACUGGAAUUAAUACCGUAUACGCCCUACGGGGGAAAGAUUUAUCGGGGAAGGAUUGGCCCGCGUUGGAUUAGCUAGUUGGUGGGGUAAAGGCCUACCAAGGCGACGAUCCAUAGCUGGUCUGAGAGGAUGAUCAGCCACAUUGGGACUGAGACACGGCCCAAACUCCUACGGGAGGCAGCAGUGGGGAAUAUUGGACAAUGGGCGCAAGCCUGAUCCAGCCAUGCCGCGUGAGUGAUGAAGGCCUUAGGGUUGUAAAGCUCUUUCACCGAUGAAGAUAAUGACGGUAGUCGGAGAAGAAGCCCCGGCUAACUUCGUG